CGGCGGCACACGCUGUCCCCGCGGACGUGCGGGCCAGAGCCGACGCAGCACUUGCCUUUUUGGGCUGCAUUAUCUCGGAUGAGCGUUGGGAGCUCGGCGCUGCCCCGCGGCCCCGUGCCAGCGCAGGCAGGGCCGCACAGCUCACGGCACACCCCAUGCAUCCCGUCACCUCGCCGCUCUCUCCUCCUCAGUCCAUCCCUUGGAAGUGGCUCUUCGGGGCAACAGCCAUCGCGCUCGGCGGCGUGGCCUUGUCGGUGGUCAUCGCGGCGAGGAACUAAGGAUGGUGACAGGGCGGCCCCGCGGCACAGGACCUGCGCCGGGAUGUGCCUCUCUCCUGCCAAGGGGCUUCCCUGGGGCUCCGCCGACCCCUCCCCACGGACUCGCAGUUGCAGAAACACAGAUGCUUUCUCCGCUGGAGGUGCCGGAUCCCCCUCCCGCCAUCCCCCCAUGUCCCUCCCGGCGCAGAUGGGGCGCAGCUGCGGGGACGGAGCCGCAGGCAGAGCAGAGACCCCCGAGCACCCUCCCGGCAAUCAGGGGCUCAGCCCCCAGCCCCGAGCGUGUCGGGGGGGAGCGGGAGCUCCUGCACACCGGUACGCCAUCGCUGUCCCCAGCCCGGUGACCCCCAGCAGGCAUCGUGGUCCUGCCGACACGGUGGGAUGGGCAGGGGGAGGCCCGUGGAAGGAAGGAAGCCGCGUGGGUAGGGACGGGCACAGCGGUUUCUACGGCUGGACCCGGCCGCGGGAAGGGAAGCGGUGCAGAUGUACCAUGGGGCACGUCCAGCGAGAUUCCCCCGUGUCCUGGGGGGCUGCCGGCGGCUCAGCCCUCCCGUGGGCACCCGCUCCCCUCCUCGGUGCUUCCCCAGAGUGUGCAAUGUCCAAAGAAAGCCAAAGAAACCCGCGGUGGGAGGGUUGUGCUGGAGACCUCCUCUCCAGGCUCUCUUGUAGGUCCAAGCUCUCGGGGUCCCCCUUUGCCCUGCAGCUCUCUCCAGCUUGGGGUCAGCCGUUGCCCCAGUCCCAGCUCAGAUCAUGGCGGGGGGCAGGGGGUGUAGCACUGUCCUCCUGCCCCAAACCGACUGUGAACUUCCCAAAUAAAGGACAAUUCCUUCA
rnacentral:lncRNA from 1 species